UGGCUCAGGACGAACGCUGGCGGCAUGCUUUACACAUGCAAGUCGAACGGCAGCGCGGGCUUCGGCCUGGCGGCGAGUGGCGAACGGGUGAGUAAUGCAUCGGAACGUACCCAGUCGUGGGGGAUAACACAUCGAAAGAUGUGCUAAUACCGCAUACGUCCUGAGGGAGAAAGCGGGGGACCUUCGGGCCUCGCGCGAUUGGAGCGGCCGAUGUCAGAUUAGCUAGUAGGUGGGGUAAAGGCCCACCUAGGCGACGAUCUGUAGCGGGUCUGAGAGGAUGAUCCGCCACACUGGGACUGAGACACGGCCCAGACUCCUACGGGAGGCAGCAGUAGGA
rnacentral:rRNA from 1 species